CCUACGGGUGACUGCAGUGAGGAAUAUUGGUCAAUGGUCGGGAGCCUGAACCAGCCAAGCCGCGUGAGGGAUGAAGGUACAGAGUAUCGUAAACCUCUUUUGUCAGGGAACAAAGGCUGGGACGUGUCCCCGGAUGAGUGUACCUGAAGAAAAAGCAUCGGCUAACUCCGUGCCAGCAGCCGCGGUAAUACGGAGGAUGCGAGCGUUAUCCGGAUUUAUGGGGUUAAAAGGGUGCGCAGGCGGUCUGUUAAGUCAGCGGUCAAAGCCCGGGGCUCAACCCCGGCCCGCCGUUGAAACUGGCAGGCUCGAGUUGGAGAGAAGUAUGCGGAAUGCGCGGUGUAGCGGUGAAAUGCAUAGAUAUCGCGCAGAACUCCGAUUGCGAAGGCAGCAUACCGGCGCGCAACUGACGCUGAGGCACGAAAGCGUGGGGAUCGAACAGGAUUAGAUACCCCGGUAGUC
rnacentral:rRNA from 1 species